ACUGGAAUGAACGGCUAAAUGAGGACUAAACUGUCUCUUGCGAGCUAGUCAAUGAAAUUGAUUUUCCAGUACAAAAGCUGGAAUAGACCCAUAAGACGAAAAGACCCUGUGGAGCUUAAAAACCAGAUUCAUUAAGAAUGUUUCCUCGGAUUUUCAGUUGGGGCGACUUCGGAGUACAGAAAAACCUCCGAAAAAUGUAAACUUGUAUUAAGAUCAACACACCAAAAAUAACACAUAGACCCAGCAAUUUUUACAAAUAUGUCUGACCAAUGAACCAAGUUACCCCAGGGAUAACAGCGCCAUCCCCUUUUAGAGUCCCUAUCGACAAGGGGGUUUACGACCUCGAUGUUGGAUCAGGACACCCCAAUGGUGCAGCCGCCAUUAAAG
rnacentral:rRNA from 1 species